rnacentral:tRNA from 1 species
GGAAGAGCUCAGGGGCAGAGCACAUGCCUAGUAUGCAUGAAGUCCUGGGUUCAUCCCCAGUAACUCCA